UUCUAUUAUAAUGUAUUUCCCAGACAAAAUAGAUAAAGAAUAAAUUAAUUUGCUUUUCAUUUUAAAUCUUUUGGGUUUGGCUAAGUAAAAUUAAAAUAAUUCCGUAUUUUUCUCCGGGCCGGUUUUGUCUUUUAUCGGAUGAAAAUAUACGUCAUUUUUGACGUCACUGCUGCAGCAGACGUGUUGGGUGUUUGGAAAAGGCAAGUGAUCUCCUAACAAUAUUAUUUUAAAAACUUUUGAUUCAUAUUGUUUAAAUAUAAUUUCAUUAUGGUUAUAGGUGCGUAUGAACUUAUCACUUGCAUCAUGCAUGUAAUUGUUAAAUCAAUGCAUUUCGUAAACCUAACGUUCGUGAUCUUUCAAAGAGCCCGAAGCUGAUAAGACUGGCGAUUGAUCCUGAAGCUGAUUUGACAGACGAUUGCAUCAUCACAAUAUUGAAGGUUCAAUAUACAGUCAGCCUCUCAUAAGAUAAAGAACAAAUCCCAAGAUCCAAGGCUUGCUUCAAAGUUAAGAGACCAUUCUGUGCCACAAAGAAAUUGUUCAGGAAGAGGAGAAGUGGUGGAUAUUCAUUUUUGGUACGGUACAGUUCAAACAGAUUUUCAAAAUGGUCAUGGAAGAUCAAAGGGAGGACAACUGAAAAAACUGAAAGAUACAGAAGGAAAAAGAACAAGGAAAUAUAUGGAAUAAUCAUGAAAUGGGGAGGAUGUACACAAUCUUGUCUGAAUUUGAGCUGUGAAAAUUUCCCAUAUUCUUAUUGUAUGCUGGAAUAAUCAAUAACUUGAUUUUUCAUAAAUUUUCAAUAGAGAAUACAUGACAAAUGUAAUUGCUGAUUAUUUCAAUUUUGCUUUGAACACCUUAAUGUCAUAUGGUAUUUUUAUACAUGAACUAAUUAUGUUAUU